GCACGAAGUUAGCCGGGGCUUAUUCUGCAGGUACCGUCACUUUCGCUUCUUCCCUACUGAAAGAGGUUUACAACCCGAAGGCCGUCAUCCCUCACGCGGCGUCGCUGCAUCAGGCUUUCGCCCAUUGUGCAAUAUUCCCCA
rnacentral:rRNA from 1 species